GACGAACGCUGGCGGCGUGCUUAACACAUGCUAGUCGAACGGAAAGGCCCUGCUUUUGUGGGGUGCUCGAGUGGCGAACGGGUGAGUAACACGUGAGUAACCUGCCCUUGACUUUGGGAUAACUUCAGGAAACUGGGGCUAAUACCGGAUAGGAGCUCCUGCUGCAUGGUGGGGGUUGGAAAGUUUCGGCGGUUGGGGAUGGACUCGCGGCUUAUCCCGUUGUUGGUGGGGUAGUGGCUUACCAAGGCUUUGACGGGUAGCCGGCCUGAGAGGGUGACCGGCCACAUUGGGACUGAGAUACGGCCCAGACUCCUACGGGAGGCAGCAGUGGGGAAUAUUGCACAAUGGGCGGAAGCCUGAUGCAGCAACGCCGCGUGCGGGAUGACGGCCUUCGGGUUGUAAACCGCUUUCGCCUGUGACGAAGCGUGAGUGACGGUAAUGGGUAAAGAAGCACCGGCUAACUACGUGCCAGCAGCCGCGGUGAUACGUAGGGUGCGAGCGUUGUCCGGAUUUAUUGGGCGUAAAGGGCUCGUAGGUGGUUGAUCGCGUCGGAAGUGUAAUCUUGGGGCUUAACCCUGAGCGUGCUUUCGAUACGGGUUGACUUGAGGAAGGUAGGGGAGAAUGGAAUUCCUGGUGGAGCGGUGGAAUGCGCAGAUAUCAGGAGGAACACCAGUGGCGAAGGCGGUUCUCUGGGCCUUUCCUGACGCUGAGGAGCGAAAGCGUGGGGAGCGAACAGGCUUAGAUACCCUGGUAGUCCACGCUGUAAACGGUGGGUACUAGGUGUGGGGUCCAUUCCACGGGUUCCGUGCCGUAGCUAACGCUUUAAGUACCCCGCCUGGGGAGUACGGCCGCAAGGCUAAAACUCAAAGGAAUUGACGGGGCCCCGCACAAGCGGCGGAGCAUGCGGAUUAAUUCGAUGCAACGCGUAGAACCUUACCUGGGUUUGACAUGGAUCGGGAGUGCUCAGAGAUGGGUGUGCCUCUUUUGGGGUCGGUUCACAGGUGGUGCAUGCCUGUCGUCAGCUCGUGUCGUGAGAUGUUGGGUUAAGUCCCGCAACGAGCGCAACCCUUGUUCACUGUUGCCAGCACGUUAUGGUGGGGACUCAGUGGAGACCGCCGGGGUCAACUCGGAGGAAGGUGGGGAUGACGUCAAGUCCUCAUGCCCCUUAUGUCCAGGGCUUCACGCAUGCUACAAUGGCUGGUACAGAGAGUGGCGAGCCUGUGAGGGUGAGCGAAUCUCGGAAAGCCGGUCUCAGUUCGGAUUGGGGUCUGCAACUCGACCUCAUGAAGUCGGAGUCGCUAGUAAUCGCAGAUCAGCAACGCUGCGGUGAAUACGUUCCCGGG
rnacentral:rRNA from 1 species